rnacentral:rRNA from 3 species
AAAUUGAAGAGUUUGAUCAUGGCUCAGAUUGAACGCUGGCGGCAGGCCUAACACAUGCAAGUCGAACGGUAACAGGAAGCAGCUUGCUGCUUCGCUGACGAGUGGCGGACGGGUGAGUAAUGUCUGGGAAACUGCCUGAUGGAGGGGGAUAACUACUGGAAACGGUGGCUAAUACCGCAUAACGUCGCAAGACCAAAGAGGGGGACCUUCGGGCCUCUUGCCAUCAGAUGUGCCCAGAUGGGAUUAGCUUGUUGGUGAGGUAACGGCUCACCAAGGCGACGAUCCCUAGCUGGUCUGAGAGGAUGACCAGCCACACUGGAACUGAGACACGGUCCAGACUCCUACGGGAGGCAGCAGUGGGGAAUAUUGCACAAUGGGCGCAAGCCUGAUGCAGCCAUGCCGCGUGUAUGAAGAAGGCCUUCGGGUUGUAAAGUACUUUCAGCGGGGAGGAAGGUGUUGUGGUUAAUAACCGCAGCAAUUGACGUUACCCGCAGAAGAAGCA